UUGAUUUUUUGUGAAAAAAGGUUAGUUAAAAAAUCACCAAAAAUUUUACCGUGUACCUAUUUUUUCUGAAUAGUCCUCAUCAAUACCUACAACUUUGCCCAAGAAACCAAAUCAAUCAAAAAAAAUAUUUUAAAAGUAACAGAUUUUCGAAUAUUGAAGUACCAUUUUUUUAUGAACAGCAGCCAAAAUUGUAAGGAGAUUUGUAUGGGUAAACCAAUGACACAAAAUGGCUUUUUUUGUGAUAGGGAAGGCCCCCACCAGGUUUGAGCCAAACCAAAAAAUAUUAGUAAAAUCCAUUUCCGGGUUUGCUUGAGAAUUGCUCAAAUGUGUUUAAGUUUUUUGCCUUCCUCACUGAGGUAAGGCUAUAAUCCUGCUCUAAAAAACAACUUUUUAAUAAAAGCUCGAAGACCCACCUUCAUGUAUACAUAUCGACUCAGAAUUGAAAACUGAACAAAUGUCUGUGUGUGUGUAUGUGUGUGUGUAUGUGUGUAUGUAUGUAUGUGACCAAAAUUCUCACUGAGUUUUCUCAGCACUGGCUGAACCGAUUUUGAUCAAACCAGUUGCAUUCGACUUGGUUUAGGGUCCCAUACAUCGCUAUUGAAUUGUUUGAAGUUUUGAUAAGUAGUUCAAAAGUUAUGUAUAAAAAUGUGUUUUCACAUAUAUCCGGAUCUCACUUUUAUGCAUGUAAACGAUGUCUUGAUCCAUCAUCCAACACAUCGUUGAUUAGGUAAUCGAAAGACCUUUCCAACGAGUCCAAAACAUUGAAGAUCUGGCAACCCUGCCUCGAGUUAUGACCACUUAAGUACUUUUUAUGUACUUUUUUGAAGCUGGAUCUCGCUUAAAUGUAUGUAAACGAUGUCCGGAUCCAUCAUCCAACCCAUUGUUGGUUGGAUAAUUGAAAGACCUUUCCAACGAGCUUAAAACAUUCCAGAUCUGGCAACCCUGCCUCGAGUUAUGACCACUUAAGUGCUAUUUAUAUACUUUUUUUAAGCUGGAUCUCGCAUAAAUGUAUGUAAACAAUGUCCAGAUCCACCAUCCAAACCAUAGUUGGUUAGGUUAUUGAACAACCUUUCCAACGAGUCCAAAACAUUGAAGAUCUAGCAACCCUGUCUCGAGACAUUUCCACUUAAGUGCUAUUUAUGCACUUUUUUCAAGCCAGAUCUCACCUAAAUGUUUGUAAACGAUGUCCGGAUCCAUCAUUCGACCCAUCGUUGGUUAGGUAAUCGAGAAACCUUUUCGACGAGUCCACAACACUUAAGAUCUGGCAACCCUGUCUCGAGUUAUGACCACUUAAGUGAUAUUUAUGUACUUUUUUGAAGCCGGAUCUCACUUAAAUGUAUGUAAACAAUGUCCGGAUCUAUCAUCUGAUCCAUCAUUGGUUAGGUAAUCGAGAGACCUUUCCAACGAGCUCACAACAUUGAAGAUCUGGCAACCCUGUCUCGAGUUAUGACCACUAAAAUGAUAUUGAUGUUCUUUUUGGAAGCCGGAUCUCACUUAUGUGUAUGAAAACAUUGUCCAGAUCAACAAUCCGACAUAUCAUUGGAUAGCUAUUCAAAAUACCUUCCAAACGAGUCCAAAAUAUUAAUUGUCUGGCAACCCUGUAUCAAGUUUUGACGACUUAAGUCAGUAUUUUGGUUUAUUGGUAAUUGUUUCCUUACCAAUAACCAAGUUUGAUAAUAAAUAUCAAUCAUUUCCUGAUCUUUUGCGUAACGAGAUCUUCUGGUAACGAGUGAGGAAGGCACCAACCACAUAGGUGGAUUAAGUUAGUUUUUUAAUUGUUUCUGUCCGAAUUGUCGACUUAUAAAAUGUUAAAAAAUGAAAAGAAUGUAUGCAGAUUUUUAAACAAAGAUGGCGUAAAGAAUGGUGCACGCCCGAAAUGUCAAAAUCACGCAAUGGGACCAACAUUACAAAAAAAAAGUGUGCCAUGGCAUGACAACCACACUUUUUUGGUACCACUGAGCGAUUUUGACAUUCCGGGCGUGCACCAUUCGUUACGCCAUCUUCGCUUAAAAUCUGGAUACUAUUAAUGAUCAAUUCUACACUAACAUUUCAUAUAGCGCUACGUCUCAGACAAAAGCUAUGUACAUGGUUCUGUUGACAUUCUCAGGAAGAAGUGGAAGGCUUUGCGCGAUAUUUACCGACGUGAAUUGCAGAAAAUCCCAGAAGCACGGUCUGGAGACGCCGCGGACGGAGACCAAAAUUAUUCGACCUGGGCCCACUUUAAAAGCAUGGCAUUCGUGCGUGACCAAAUGCGGCCAAGGAAAAUGAGUGGCAAUCUACAAUCGGGAAAUUCGGUGAACCAACAAGAGCCUGAGGAAAACGAAGAAAAUGAGUGCGCGUACGAAGAGGAGCACCUUGACGAAAGUGCGGAAGAUACGUUCGAGGUUCCAAAUCCGCCUCCUGCCGAAUCAGGCAGUCCAGUUGGGCCAAGCCCCCCCCCAAAGAAAAAGAGAAUGUCCAAAGACAACAAUGUGGCACGGCUGAUUGACAUCGAAACCAAAAAGCUACAACUGCUGGAAAGAAAGGUGGCUUCAAAAGAGCGAGAUGAAGACGAAGCUUUUCUUGAAAGCCUUCUGCCGCAUCUCCGAAAGCUGGAUCCCGAGCAAAAACUGCUUUGCAGAAUGAAAAUGCAGAGUGUUGUUCUGGAGCAUGUGUAUUCCCACGGAAACAGUAUUGACGGAAACAACAAUGUUUAACUGAAUCAAUAUUCAAAGAAAGAGGUUGUUUGAAAUGUAACCUAUUGAAUUGCAAUAAAAUUGAAUUGAAUUACAAUUGAAAGAAAAGUCAAUACAUAAUUUCUCUGAAAAAUAUCCUUAACCGAAAAAAUGGCAAAAAACAUUUCCAACCAUUCCAAAACAUUAAAGAUCCCUAUCAAAAGUUAUGAGCAUUUAAGUUUUAAUUAAACAAUUUUUAGAGUUCGACACUUGGAUGAAAGUGAUGUCCAAUUCACCAUUUUAAUUUUUGUUUUGGUAAGAGGAUGACAAUAAAAAAAAUCUACAUCAGGGAUACCCCCUGAUUCGAUUCCUCGGAUCGUUUUGCGGUCUUCGACAAAGUUGUUUGUCAUGAAAUUUUACAUAAGAAUCUCAUACUUGACAAUAAUCCAAAGCAUUUAACGUCAACUUUUGGCGGAAGUUUGAAAUUUUUGCCUUUCCCCAUAUAUUUUUAUAAAUUUUCCAAUACAAACUUCAACGAUAAAAAGCGACCCUUUACCCCUAACCGAUUUGGCUCAAAAUUUGAACAGUUACUAAUUUUUAACUAAAGAAUUGUGCCAGGGGGUAUCUCUUACGAUGUUCCAAAAUUUUCAUUUUUUCUUAUCAAAAAAAAGAUAAAGAUUGACGAUCUGAAAACCCUAUCAAGAGUCAUGAGCACUUAAGUGUUAAAUUUACACUUUUUUUGAUGUCUGGUUGUCUAGGAUGCCUGGAUCAAUCAUCCAUCGUUGGGUGGGUAAUCAAAAAACUUCCAACGAGCCCAAAAGAUUGAAAAUCUGCAACCCUAUCAAAAAUAUAAACAUUUCAAUAAAACCAAGUUGUAAUUGUAAUGCCCUGAAAACAGAUUUAAAAAUGGUUCAAGUUUGUACUCAACACUUGACAUUGUUGCCGAAUUAUAUGUAUGUAACCCCUAAACAUGAACAGAAUAUUGAACUUACCUCAAUG